rnacentral:lncRNA from 1 species
GGCAUAGGCUGACUCAUUCCCAGCUCCUCCUGGGAGCCAGGCUGGUCUGGCAGGUAAAUGAAUCACCCUCUGGUCUUCCACUGUCCGGCAUACAGAGUGGAGAGGGAUUCAGCCUGGGACUAGGGCUCAGGAGGCUGCCUCAGACACUGAGAGAGAGCCCUGCAAGAGCAAAUUCAUUCCCCAGCCUGCUGAGAUAGACAGACAGGCAACUCCCCCCAUCCCCGCUUGGAAGCUCGCCUGCCUUCUUCCCCUGGGCAAAGGAGAGUUGGGAAGAAGCCAGGAGAAGGUGGUGAGCUGAGCAUAGUCACAGGCAGAUGGCUUCCUCAGAUCCAUCUCCUCAGCCUGCAGUAGGAGACCAGCCAGCUCAGGACGUCCCAGGGACUUCUCCUGAGUCUGAGGAGGACCACGGAGAGGAUUUUGAGUUUGACGACAGUGAUGAAGAGGAAGAGGACUCCAGGACGGGCCCAGAGAAGGAUGGAGAACCCCCACUUAUCCACUUUGAUGCUGCCCCCAUCACUGAUCCUGCAGCUGCCCAGCCCCCGACAGAGUAAGUGAACUCCCUUUCCUUUGCUUAGGCGUGUCCUAAAAUGGUGUUA